rnacentral:rRNA from 1 species
UACGAAGGGGGCUAGCGUUGUUCGGAAUUACUGGGCGUAAAGCGCACGUAGGCGGGUUUUUUAGUCGGGGGUGAAAUCCCAGGGCUCAACCCUGGAACUGCCUUCGAGACUGCAAGCCUGGAGGUCAGGAGAGGCGAGUGGAAUUCCGAGUGUAGAGGUGAAAUUCGUAGAUAUUCGGAGGAACACCAGUGGCGAAGGCGGCUCGCUGGACUGAUACUGACGCUGAGGUGCGAAAGCGUGGGGAGCAAACAGG